CCUACGGGUGGCAGCAGUGAGGAAUAUUGCGCAAUGGGGGAAACCCUGACGCAGCAACGCCGCGUGGGUGAAGAAGGCCUUCGGGUUGUAAAGCCCUGUCAGGUGGGAAGAACCACCCGCAGACGAAUACUCUGCGGAUCUGACGGUACCACCAGAGGAAGCACCGGCUAACUCCGUGCCAGCAGCCGCGGUAAGACGGAGGGUGCAAGCGUUGUUCGGAAUCGCUGGGGGUAAAGCGCGUGUCGGCUGUGAAAGCCCGGGGCUCAACUCCGGAAGUGCAUUCGAAACUGUCCUGCUCGAGUACGGGAGAGGAGAGUGGAAUUCCUGGUGUAGAGGUGAAAUUCGUAGAUAUCAGGAGGAACACCUGUGGCGAAGGCGGCUCUCUGGACCGAUACUGACGCUGAGACGCGAAAGCGUGGGGAGCAAACAGGAUUAGAUACCCGUGUAGUC
rnacentral:rRNA from 1 species